AACCUCCUCCUCUCUUGUCACUUAGAUUUAAAAGUAUUUCCUUAUAGUUACACCUGCUUCUUGCCUGCUUUACAGUUUCCUCAGCCCUCCACCAGCCUUCUCUAGCCGCUAGAGAAAGCCCCAUCCUAGGAGACUGUCACUAUGUAUGUGUAAACCUCUGAAAAAUAAGUCUACCUCCUCUUUGUCACAGAAUUACUGGAUUCCACAGACAUAGGGAAAAGGAAAGUAUCCAUGCACUUGUGGAAGGAUAUGGCUGAGAUUAAGGACCCUGCCUUGUGGUCUCAAAAUAGAUCCCUCUUGCACACAGUGUCCUUUAUUUCUCCCAUAAUAACACUGUGCAAUCCUUCCUUUUAUAUUUCAUAUAUCAAUUACCACAGGAAUACACAAACUGCAAGGUAGUUGUCCGUCUUUACUUCCAGGCACCUAAGUCAAAUAACCAUAGGUCAUUUUUUUUUCUGGCUUCUUGUGUGUAUUGGUGAGUGUGGUACUUGUGUGCAUGUAUGUAAGUCAUGGACUCACAGAGACUAGAGUAUCCUGUUCGGUUGUUGUCUACAUUAUUGAUUUGAAACUAGAACUAGGCUGGCGGCCAGCUUCUCCAGCAAUCUUCAUGUCUCUGCUAGCCACAGCACUGGAAUUAAGUGGGCACGUAUCAGAUCUGGCUUUUCAAGUGUAUUGGGGAUUUGAACUCAACUCCCCAUACUUGCUUGGCAAGUGCCCUCCCUCCAUAGAGCCAUCUCCGUUGUUGUUGUUUUCUUUGCUGUUGCUAUUCUGCUGGUUUUAUUUUUGCUUGUUCGUGUCUUUUUGUUUGUUUUUUUAGACAGGGUCAUCUUCUUGAGUCCUGGAGUUAUGGGCAUGUGCUAAUCUAUGUUUAUUCAAAUCUGUACCCACCCUUUGUCUUCUCUUCCCUAGACCAGGGAGAGGAAAGGCAUGCAUAGCUCCUCCUGCCCCCAUCAACGUGCUGUCUUUCUGAACCUCUUAUCUCCGGUCAGCAUCCGUUAUUUGCAGGCCCAAGGAACCAAAGAAACAAUGAGGUCUGGUGAGGCCAGCCAAUGUCUCCGUCCUGGUAUCUAUGACAGGAGCUUCCUCAGACGUGAAAACUCAGGGAAGCCAGAGAGGGCCAUGUCCACAGAUCUCUAGCGGGCAUCUUGGUGUAUCCAUGCACAGAGACUAGUCCUGGAAACCCCAUUGCCAAAUACAGGAAGCAUCCUGACUCAUUGCUUCCCUGAUGAUUGGUCUCCCGUUUGUGUCUUCACUAGAUUCUCCAUCCGGAAAUAGUCCUGCCUGCUCUAAGUGCAGCCCGAUCAAACUGUUUCAGAAGAAGCAAUGGCCUACUUAUCUAUGGCCUGAAAUCACAACAAACAGUUUCCUUGGACUGUUUGGGUUCUUUUAUUCUCAGUUCUUUUAUUCUUUAUACCUUCCUUCCCACACCAUCUAUCAAUCCAUCCAUCCAGUCAUAUCAUUACACAGCCAGUCACGAUCAAUCAUGGCCUAUGGGUCCAUGCAGCACCCCAGUGUCUCUGGAUGAGACCCAUCAUCACAAUUCCUGAGAACCAUGGUCCCCUUCCUUGGGUUCCUCCACACCAAUAGACACACAGCAAGCCAAAGUAAGCAGGAGUUUACUUCACUUAAAGCCCAACUCUUGUACUCUCUGCCCCUCAGGAACCCAUCCGGAGCUUACAGAAUAAAGGCCAUAUUGAUUAUAAGACACGUGACAUCUGUUUAAUGUGGUGGCAGACAAUCAUCUAGCUUCCCAUGCUACCAGUGCAAAUGCCUACAUCCCACCCUUGCAAGCCAACAGUCUUCCUUUACUUGCAGAACAUCAGAGUCAUUCUCACGAUCCUGAUUUGUCAUUAGCCUAGGGUCCAGCACAUAGAGCGCAAAUAUUUCUGAAUUCGCAACUCCUUGCUCUUCUCUCUGAGUGCAUGCAGAAUAGUCUAGACUUCCUCAGAGAGUUUGUUUUAUACUUCAAUGGCAUCUUCAAAGGUUCGUUUAUUUGGAUUUUGUGUGCACGAGUGUUCUGCCCGUAGGGAUGUGCACUCUGUGUGUGCCCGGAGCCCACAGAGGUCAACAGAGGAAAGCAGAUCUCCUGGAACUGGGCUAUGGGUGGUUGUGAGCUUCCAUUUGGGUACUGGAAUCCAAAGCUGUGUCCUCUGCAAGAGUUAUAAGUUCUCUUAACUGUUGAGCCUUCACUCCAGACUCCUUCAAUAACAUUUAAAUACAAAUGUAACACCAUGGAAGUCAGAAAAGAUAGAGAAGUUGAAAGGAAAUCCCAGUUACUGAGCAGUGGUAGCACACAACUGUAAUCCCAGCAUUUGGGAGGUUGAGGGAUAGCCCUAAGUUCAAGGCAAGCCUGGGCUACAUAGGGAAAUCUUGUUUAAAUAGAAACAAGAUUGAAGAUGUAUCGUAAUUGCUCAUAUUUUCUUUAUGUAAUAGAAGACUGGAAUCUGUCCUCCACUAUGUACGUGAAUGUGUACACACACACACACACACACACACACACACACACACACACACACAGAGGUGGAGUCCUGCAAUUUUAUCCUCAGAAACAGACCUAUAGAUAUUGUAUGUGCUUGUAAUUAGUAAUCUUUCCACUGUGCCAUUUCCCAUCCUCGUCUGCUCACUGUUUUGUGUGCAGACUGCACUUCCCAUCCCCCGCUGGGCUUCUGUGAUAUCUUUCUGUCCCGUUCCACUUCUUGGCUGGCUCUUCUUUUGCUGCCAGCCUCCUAAAUUAUGGUGUUUCCAAGCAUUCUAUCUUCAACCCUCUUAUUUUCUCAUUUUAUCUGUUUUUUCCCUUUGGGGGCUCAUCCACGCCCAGAGUCUGAGAUAUCACUGCAGAUGGUCCUGAACCUAACACUUGUUAACUUACAAUUUUCCAAUUAGGCAGUGGUACAAAAGCAACAAGGACUCAGUAGAAAGCAUCCUGCAAAUUCUGAACGUAAGUCUUUCCUGGGCUAGCACUAAGCAGCGUAAUAUUUUGUUGCCAUGUUGGGCAAUCACAGACAUUCUCAUCUCCCAGUCAACCCCAAAUCACCACCUGAAACGGCCCACACCCUGCAUUGUCCCAGUUGCUACAUUAUAACUUCCUCUAGGCCAGGUGUAUCAAUAGAGUUUUAGGAUACAAUGCUCCAUUGCUAAUGAGUUUAUGGGGGUCAGGCAUCUUACAAGUUGAGAAGCAUCCAUAUUUGAUGAUGCUUUCAAAAUAAACUCUGAGCUACUGACACAUUACUUCCUAGAUGCCAGUGAGAUUCACAUAUAUUCCCGGUGCAGGUCAAUACUCACAGUAGGAAAACACAGACAGGGUCUCAAGCUUAGGCUGCCUUGAAAUCAGGAUCUCCCUCCCUCGGCCUCACAGGUUCUGGGAUUACACUCUAAAAAUAAACUCAUAACAUCUUUCCCUACAAACUCGUAUUUGUCAUUUCAUCAGGAGCCAGGAAUCUGGAAAACAUCACAGCACCCCCUGCACACACACCCACACACACAACAACUUGUUUGAGUCCCUGGGGCUUCCCUAAGCAUAGGUACUGUUUGCAAUUUUCCAAGCCCUUCAGCUCAUAAAACCUAGGAUGAAUAGCACCGUGUUCUUAUGCCCUUGAUGAAAUGUCACAGUAGAUCAGAGAUACAAAUAAGACUCAGAACAUCCACAUGGUACCGAUACACAAAGUCACAAAAUAUUUCUUGGCUCUUUGAUGAUACACAUACACACAGGUACUCAUGCACAAACACAGCUCUGUGGAAAAUUAGUCAAUAUAGAAAAAUCUUUUUUGGUAGUCUGUAAGAAGAGUACCAUUUGCUUUAUAAUAAAAUGAGAAUAUAUCCUCAGAUUGCAUUUUUUCAUUUUACCUACAGGAUGGAUAUCCUACAGAAUCUUCUUGGGGUGUUGAUAGUGAUUUCUUUCUCUUCAGGAGAGUUAGAACAAUAAUUAUUUAAACAGAGUGCCAGUAGAUCUCUCUUAUGAGAACAGCUUGGCAAGCAGGAGAAACUGAAGACACACUCAGAGUGAGCCCCCUUUUUAAAAUGGACAUCUAAUUUAGCUUACUGAUAAAUGAGAUACUUUUAAUAAAAUCAUCACCAACUUGCAAAUAUUUGCCAGGUGUCCAGAAAAAAUGCUUCUUAGCACCAGCUAUAUAGCAGUGAACCAAAGGAAUCAAAACCACUGUCACCUGGAAGGUUUUUUUUCUUUUUUUUUUUUACAGUCUAGUCAAUUGCCAUGUCGAUUUCCAAUAUAGCAUCCCAGGGAUGGCAGAACAUGGCCUCUAGCUGUUAUUACAGCCCUUAGAAUUGCACAUCACAGUUCUAAGAAGGCGCACUGCAUAGCUUGUUAACUCAAGCCCAAGUACGCUCGCCAGACUGCCAGCUAAUGUUCCAGUUCUGUCCACUGGAAUCACUCCUGUGCUGGCCACUGGGGCACUCCUCCAUGGUCCUAAAAUUCUGGUAGGAGGACACAAGAGAAUGCACAGUGAGGGUUCCACACUUGCCAGAGCACAUGCUCAAUAUAAGGCUAAGUCUGUGCAGAGAGAUCACUGCAGAGAUCCUUCCAGUGGAGUACAAAGUGAAUCAAGACGAGGCUAAAGGUCACAGGCUAGCAGAGGCAACAGAAAUGCGUUGAUGUGCAAGCCUUUAAGGGGGUUCUGUGAAACCGAAAACACAUUGGAGACAUUUUUGAGUGUGUUUGCUCCUUGCUUUUAUUUUGUCGGAAACAGAAACAAAGCUUCCUGUGUUACAAAAUCAUGAAACUCAUGAGUUUACAUUGGGUAAUAAAUUACCCAAUGCUUAGCAAUAAAUAUUGUGGUGAAAAAGGGGGAAUGUAACUCUAAAAUUUCCAGGAUAGCUCUCCCUUCCCCCAUUUCUGUCUCUGUGUCUGUCUGUCUCUGCCUCUGUGUGUAUGUGUGUCUCUGUCUCUCUUUGUGUCUCUGUUUCUGUCUCUCUCUCCUCUCUCUCUCUCUCUCUCUCUCUCUCUCUCUCUCUCUCUCUCUCUUCUUCUUCCACCCCCUCUGUGUGAUGACUGUUCCUGUCCAAAGUGAAGGCUUGUGACUUCAGAAGCUGUCAUGAGUUGUUUUGCUGUCAUCAUUCCCCAAGCUUCUACCUUUAAAGCGAAGUGAGAACAGAACAGGUCCGUAGCUUUGUCCUGAUGUUCAUUCGAGAACUGCUGUGAUGCCUUUAGGGAUUAAGGAGAGAAAUUUCAAAUGCGUGACCCUAAACUCAGCAAAGUAGAGCUGGAGACAUGGCUCAGUCGGUAAAGUAUUUGCUGUGAGAACGCAAGGACCAGAGUUCAGAUCUGCAGCACCCACCUAAAGGUUUGAUGGGAUGAUCUCUGAAUGUGAGGCUAGCCUGGUCUACAUAGUGAGUUCUGGGCCAGCCAGGGCUACAUAGUAAGGCCCUGUCUCUAAACAAACAAACAUGUAAGUAAGUAAAUAUAAGGUCACAUUCUGGGCAGUGGAAGUUAGAUUUCAGCAUGUAGGUAGGGGGAGGAAGCCGUGACAUCACGUACCAGCUGUGGAAGAGGUACUGAGCAGAGGAACAAGUUGGGACCGAUGCACCAAGAGUCAGAAGCCUGGCACCUUCUGAGAGUUGGAAGAAAGAGUUAGGAGGGCGUGGAUCGUGGCAAGAGGUGGGCAGAGCUAGACCGAGGAGUCUAGACUUCAUUCUCUGAGCAGCGGAAAUUAUGGAGUCCUUCUAUGGUUUCAAAAAUCAUGCUGUAAAUUUCCAAAUCGCCUCUUCAACCUCAAAGGAGCACAAAGAUUUCUUAACUCACUGGCCUACUGAAGACAUUGCUACUGUUCCCUCGUUGCCUCUUAAUCCAUAACUCAGGGGAUUUGCUGAGAAACAUUCUGAUCCCCAGGCAGUGUUUUUACUUCUACAUUAUAAGCUCUCAAGCAAAACUACUCAUUUCUAUCCAGCUUUCCCUCUGAUUUUCUUCUCCAGGGGUAAAUAAUGUGAACCUAAUUAAUGACCCUUACAGCACACACCCAAAGCAUGUUACAGUGGUGGUGGGGUCGGGGCACAGAUUCUAGGCAUACUCUACUUUCCUCGGGUUUUGGGGUGAAAAAAAUGAUGAUUUUUUUUUUGAGAUUAUGUCAUGAUGAAAGUCAUUCGUUCCAGAAUUGUAAUAGUUCUGAGAUGUGUUUUGGGUAUUGAUAUCUAACAUUUUUUAGAGGUUUUUUUUCCACAAAUAACUUCUUCUUUAAAAGCUUCUAAAAUGUUUAAGUUUUUUGGACCUGUGUGGAACUUCACAACUCAAUAAUCUAUCUUGAUUCUUGUUGUUGUUGCCUGUUUGUUUUUGAACUUCAAACUCUGGGUCCUGGCUUUAAGCUCCUCUCUGUGUAUCUGUUUUUGAAAUUGGGUCUAGAGCAACCCAGACUGGCCUUGAAUUCGCUGUGUAGCCAAGGCUCGCUCAUCUCAAAGUUUUUACCUUCCUGCCUCCACCUCCGAGUUCUGGGGUUAUCGCUGCCUGUCAGGCUUCCCUCUUCUUCUUUUUUUUUCCUCCAUCUUUAUUAACUUGGGUAUUUCUUAUUUACAUUUCAAUUGUUAUUCCCUUUCCUAGUUUCCAGGCCAACAUCCCCCUAACUCCUCCCCCUCCCCUUCUAUAUCGGUGUUCCCCUCCCCAUCCUUUCCCCAUUACCGCCCUCCCCCCAACAAUCAUGUUCACUGGAGGUUCAGUCUUGGCAGGACCAAGGGCUUCCCCUUCCACCGGUGCUCUCACUAGGCUAUUCAUUGCUACCUAUGAGGUUGGAGCCCAGGGUCAGUCCAUGUAUAGUCUUUGGGUAGUGGCUUAGUCCCUGGAAACUCUGGUUGGUUGGCACUGUUGUUCAUAUGGAGUCUCAAGCUCCUUCAAGCUGUUUCAGUCCUUUCUCUGAUUCCUUCAACGGGGUAACAAACAGAUUUACUUCUUACCUGUUUGAUCCUGUUCCAGCCUGGGAAAGACAGUUCAUUGAUUGAAAGGGACAGAAAGAAAAGAACAAUUGGUACUACCGUCUGCUAGUCACACUUCAAGUUCAGAUCACUGGAGAUGAGAAAGAAAACACAGCCAGCCAUGUUCAAGCCACCAUACAUCAGAAUAGCAGUGCCAUGGGCACUGCUAAUGGAGUUACAUGGGAGGUGAACCUAAUUAAAGUCCCUCUGUGUGCCCAACCUUUCAGUGGUGGGGCCCAGGAGAAGUGGAUUUGGUCUUAGUUGACAGCUUUAAGAGUUAAAGUGUUCUUUUGGAACCCUGAUUGGUUCCAAAUACAGUGAGUCAUCAUAAGAAAGAACAGCAAGCCUGUCCCCUGAACCCAUGUGGCUUGCUAUCUUGCCACGUCCUUACAUCUUCCUGUGUGAGUUCUAUGCUGAUGCCAUCUGCCAUAGUGUGAUGUGACCUUAACUAAACAGUUCCUAGAACCUGCUUUUGAAGGACCGGAACUGUGAGUUUAAUAAUUAAUCAAUAAUAAUAGUUGCUUUUUAAUUGUAAUAAUAAAUAGCUUUUAAAUUAUGUGUGUGUUUCUGUGUGGGGCAAUGCGCCUAUGCACGUAAGUGUGGGUGCCUGGAAGGGUCUGCAUGCCCUAGAGCUGUGAGUUACAGUCACCAGUGUGGGUGCUUGGAAUAGAAACUCUUAACCACUGCAAAAUCUCUCCCCAUACCUCCACCAAAACUCUUCUGUAAAGCAUUGACUAUUGGGUAUUCUAUCAUAGCAGCAAAUGCCAGCCUCGUACGGUUAGGAAGGAGUGAAGCAUGGCAAAGGACUGUAGAGCAGAGGCUCGUUACGUCCCCAGCAGAGUGGGCUUUGAGCUCGGUCUAAACAAGAACUGAAAAGUAAACCGUAAUUAAAGAAAGAUCUAUAGGUACAUCGUCAAUUAUUAAUGUCCAGCACUGAAAAACCAUGACAGAGGCUUUCAGACUCCUUAAAGACCCACUUCCCUCAACAAAGAGCUCUGACUUGACAAACUGAUCUGGUCCUGUAACCCAGUACGGUUCGUUUUAAACCAAAGCUAUUUUGUUAAAACAUAUACUCAAGAUAUUAGUAGAGAGGUGAGCCUAAGUUUUUUUUUUUCCAUUUAAAAGCUGGAACUGGGAGGAGGAGGAGGCCUGGAGCCAGCAUGGGAGAAAUGUGUGCCUUUAAAAAGCUCUGUGAGAUAUCUCUUAGCCCCUGAGACCAUAGAUUGAAAACAGCUUCCUCGGGAUGCUUCAACGGAAUCUCCAAGAAUGAAAAGGAAAAUUCACAAUCCUCAGAUGAGUGCCCACAGACAUGAACUCGUAGACCCUCCUAGGGGCUUCAUUAGUAGAUAUGCAGCUGUAAUGACAGUGGUGGCCUUAUUCACGGUCACAUUCGGGAUGAAUGGAAGAUUAGCCCCGAGUUAUUUGUUAACUCAGCAUUUCACUCACAAGUUACUUUAAUUACAUGCCUGUGUCUAUUCCAUAACAACAAACAUCUGGUGGAAACUGAAGAAAAUGUCUUCUAGCCAGAUGUUUAGCUUAUGGCCAUGGAGGCAGAACACCUGUGUACCAAAAUAGCAUUUUGGCAGAUGCUUGAUAGGAUAUGUCUGGGGACCAGCUCCCGCCCUGAGUGCAGGCUCCCACGAGGUGUGCGGGCCGCCGUGAGGGUACCACAUAAAGGCUCUUCAUGUUUAUCAAGGUGAGGACAGAAGGACUUUUAUAACUCCUGGGCUGUGAGGUACAUGAAGGGCUGCCCUCUGUCCUCUUCGUACAAAUAAACCUAAGGGAGGGAAAAAGUAAGUAACCAAACGUGUUCUCAUAACCACUGUAAGUUCAAUGGUUUUGAUGUCUCGGUACACUUUAACCAGCAGAGUAUGUUUCACUAUGUGAGAUGCCUCAGCAAAACAUGAAGACAUACGUAUAUUCAUCCCUUAAUAUGAAUAUGUGAAUAUAUGCACAUAUCCAUAUCAGUAUAUACACACACACAAGCAUACAUGCAUAUACAUAGAUACAGACAUAUAUGGUGUGUGUAUAUACAAGGAAGAAGGUAUUUAUUACAAGUACUGGCUCACGUGAUUAAGAAGUCUCACCACCUGUCAUUGACAACUAGAGACCUGGAAAUUGGACCCCAGACCCACGCUGGGGGUAGAAAUGAGCCCAAACCUGAAGGCCUGCAAACCUUACAAGAUGAUGUAUGUGUGUGGGCCUCAGCCUGAAAGCCCACAGACCAGGAGCACUGUGCCCCGAGUUAGAUGGAAAAGUCAAAUUCACCAUUUUUCCUUAUACUUUAUUCUGACCUUCCCUCAGCAGAUGGGAUAAUUCUCUCUGAUGUCACUGCGGCAGAUCUGCUCUAUUCAGCCUACUAUUUCAAGAGCUAGUCCUUGAGCAGAAGGAAAAAUAAACAAAUUAUACUGGCAUAUAUAUAUAUAUAUAUGAACAUACCAUAAUAUGGACUUACUACAUUAUAUACAUCCGUUUCAAAAGAGCCAAUACUCACCAAUCAUUGAUCUCCCAGAAACAUUGCCAAACACACCCACAACUAAUGUACCUCAAGUAAUCCAGGUACUUUUGCCUCUGUGAAGUUGAUGUGUGAUCCUGACCAUUGUAUGUAUGGACAAGCAUAAGAGAGCAUGGAGUCAUUAACAAAACAUAACCCCAUGUGUCUGCUCGUUUUCAUCACUUACAUUUGACACUUUGUAGAAUGACCUAUUUUUCUGUGACUGAUGUGAAAUUUGAACCAAGACAAGUGCUUUACCACCAAAGAAAGAAGAAAUUUGUGUCCAAAGACAUCAGUUGAGUGUAAAGUAGGUGCCCUCUUGCUGUAUGGGUUCUUCAACAGUUUAUCCUCCUGCUAGUCGGUCCUUGGUGGCUGAGGGUCUACUUCCCAGCUGGGGAUGUUAUCCCUCUACAGCAUCUACGGGAACACGGUCUUAAUUGGUGUCUCCGUUGCUAUUGUUGUUUCCAAACAGUUGGCUGUGUCCAGACGCACCACAGUGUUGUUGACCUCUAUCAAGUGGUUUGCGUGCAGCCCAACCUGGGCCUACCCACCUCUCUACAGCUUCCCCUUCACUCUUUUCCUUACCCCUUGCAGUACAUAUAGUAUACAGGCAAAAAUCUAGCUGGGUGCUUGUUUUUGUAUAGCCCCUUGAAAUAAGAGUGACGCUCACGGUUUUUACAUGGCUAAGACUGGGGGCAAACAUCAACUGAACCACACUUGAAGAUGCUGUGUCAUUCACACCGCUGGAUCCAUAACCAAAGUUGUGGUGCACCACAGCCAUGAUUCUUUGCUUAUGUGUUGUCCGGGGUUGCUUUUGUGCUCAACAGAGCUGAGCAGUUACAACCAAGACUGGAUGACCCACAGAGCUUAAAAUGUUCAACCAGUUGGUCCUUUGCAACAGACGUUUGUCACCCCUUGUUUUAGCACACUCUCCUCCCUCCUGUGCCUAAAAACUCCUCCCAGAAUGUUGUUUCCAGGGUUUUCUCUUUCUAGAAUGUUCUUCUCUAACAUUUUCCAUGGUUUUUGUUUUCAUGAGGUCUCAUUGAACUUGCACGAAGCCAGCACAAAGGUCACAUGAUCAGAAUUUGUACCUUUGAUGGAGAGUUUGGUUUGAAGUUUUUAUUAUUAUCAUUCCUCUCCAGCAAUAGCAAAGGAACGAGAUGCUUUUUGAGAGUGUGAUUGGCUCUGCAUUCCAUUAACAUGGUGACACCUUCUGCAGACAGUGUGAAUGACUGUCCCCUCUCAUGUUGGACACACAUUUAGAAGCUGAAAGAAAGGGCUGCAUAUUCUAAGACCCAGAUUCAGCCAAAGGACGAUUACUGAAGCUCUCGGGUGCCAUUUCAGCUGUACUUCUAACCGGUGAUCCCAGCAAGGAAGGAAAAUUAGCCCAGUAUUAUUUUCUGUUGUUCCUGAGUCCUUUAAUGUAAUUGUGAGUGUGGACCCUCCGACAUUUCAGCGGACCAGUCUACCGGAAAAGAGACCAGGAAACCUUUGAACAACAGUUAGAUCUUUUAGUUUAUGGUGUGGUCAGUUUGCACAGAUCUGAGAUUUCCUCUCUGCAUGAUCACUGGAUAACCUUUUUACUUUCUCAGCUGCAAAAAAAAAAAAAAAUGUGAACUCACCUAAUUCUUUUAGAGAUUAGGUAAAAAAUCAGAUGAGAAAAGACCUGUAAAACUGAUUUUUAAACCAAAGUUAAAGAAAUAAACAACAUUUCCUUAGUUCUCCCAUAACCAUAAAAGAGCAAGAUAAAAGUCUACGUAAGGAAUACCCUGCAAUGCACACACACACACACACACACACACACACACACACACACACACACAUACACACACACACACACACACACACAGGCACGCAUAUCAAAGAUCUUAAGGAAAUUCAGCUAUGUUUGCACAUUCUCACCUGUAUUACUUUGUUCCUUAAACUACAGACAGAAGAGAGAAGGGACGUUUCUAGAUCACAAAUAUAUUCAGUGAGAUUCAGGGUGCUGCCUGUCCUGGGCAGAGAUAAGAGAUAGAAAGACUGGGAAUGGCAAAGAACAGAGGUCAAAGAUCAAGGCCAAGGCAGAGAGAAACUCUGGAUGGAGAAACUAAGUUGGAUGUCAGUUUCAACUUAGAAAGCACAUCAGGCAGGGGGUAGGGGGGAACUGUUUAAAUGUUACUGAGAGCAGUGAAUGCCAGGGGGAGCCAUCUGACAGGGGCUAUGGAGGGAACCUUUGAACUGGGUCUUGGAAGCAAACCAUCAGGAAAGUGACAGCCAGGCUCAGCUUAGGAGUGCUUUUAGCACCUGUCAAGGCUGGGGUGAGGGCCUCAUGGUGCCAUGGGCCCAGAGUUAGGAUGGACGUGUGAGUUUAUCCCAAUGCUCUAACAUAGUAGCUAUGUGAUCUUGCUCUCUGAGAGGCAGUUUUCUCCUCUGUAAAAUAAGCACACACAUGAAUACAUACAUAUUACAUAGUUUUUGAGACAGGGUCUUCUGUAGUCUAGGCUGGCCUCAAAUUAUUCAACUGAGGAUGACCUUGAACUCUACACCCAGGUUAUGUGGUGCUAGGGACUAACCCAGGGCUCUAUGUACGAUAGACAGGCAUUCUACCCAUUAAGCUUUAUCCCCAGACUCAGAACGAUAUAUUCUUUUUCCCCCAUGGGGAGUAAAGCUAAUAUCUAGAACACAGCAACCCACAAAUCCUGAGUAAGGGAAGUGGUAGGUCCUGCUCUGGCUGGCAUCUCAGUCACUGUCAAGACAAACACUUCAUCCCCAUUAAGCCAGCCUCCUUAGGCCACUAAACCUCAGUGAAGAUGUAGAGCUGCUCUCAUGAGCUGAUAGACUCUCUCCAGGCACCUGGAGGUGACUCUGGAGAAGAGCACAGCAGAGGUAGAGAGGGCCACCUUCUGGCUUGGGUACAAGGGCCAUACCCAAUGUGCCUUUUCAGCUGUAAUUGGCAGAAGAGUAGACGUAAAAGUCUGGGGCCCAAGUCAGAGAUCCAAGCCAAUGCCAGGGAAUGAAUUUCCAGCGAGGUACCAGAGCCUGCAGAGAACCUGAUCACUGUGGGACAAAAGGAAGCUAAACUUUGGCUAGAAUGGCUGGUCUCGGCAUCAGGUGGGAUGCUCAGAAGUCAGAAACAGAAAGUAGGCCAACAGGCAGGGGAUACCUACUUAGUGGGAACAUAGUCAUGGCUGUUGUGGGCUAUUUGAUGCUAGGGUGUGGCAGGAGAUCCAGUGCAGGAUUUGUUGAGCAUCUGAGGCCAGAACCCUUAUCACAGCCACUUGCUCCUGCCCACACCUCCCUGUGUGUGUCCCUGCCCAACUGAUCUACAUUUCAGUGGCAGCCACACACCCCAUUUCUCAUCUGUGGGGAACAGGAGAAUGAAUGCACAGUACAAGUUAGGCCAGGGAGGAGGCCGGCACCUAUAAACAAGCAAGAAACUCCAGAUCUCCGGCAUCUAGAAGGCUCUCUUAGAACAGAUGGAAGGCUUGAGUCUACCUGGUGAGGACCAACGGUCAUAUCUACUUAUAAAGCCCAUUCUCCUCUACUUUGGACUUUACAGUUCCAAGACCAACAUGGCCCCAGCUCCAGUUCAUCCCCUUCAAGAUCCAGUUGAUGCUUGACUUAUGGUUCUUCUCUUCUUGACUACCUGCCAGAAAGCAUGAUCCCUCAAUGGCUCAAUAUGAUGAGUCGGUGAAUUAAAGAAGGUCUCUCACUGAUCAGUAACAUGUAGACUAGGAAGAAGUGUGAGAGAAAGUAAUGGAUGGUUUUCACCUUGUGGAAUAUUUCAGUGAGAAUAUUUGUUUUUAAGAAUUAAAGAACAUGCAGACUUUGCAAACUCAAUUAUCCUGCAGAAAAUACUAGAGUCUAAAUUCUGCCCCUUAGCCCUGAAUUUGUAUGUUGAAUCUCCCACCCCAGAACCUCAGAAUGUGACGGUGUUGAGAGACAAGGAGGUAAUUAAGGUAAUAAAGAGGUCAUUCAGGUGAGCCCUAAUCUAAUAUAACAUGUGUCCUUACAAGGCAUAAGAUUAGGACACAGUGACAGACACAAGACAGGUGCAAACACAGAUAACGCCUACGAGAACCCUAGUUAAAGAUUGGCUAUUUGCAAACCUAGAGAAAGCAAGCUCUCUGGGCCCUCCUUUGCAAACCCCAGCCUCUAAAACUGCAAGACAAACCAUUUCUGUUGUUUAAGCCACCUGCCUAGGAUAUUUUGUCAUGGUAGCCUUAGCUAGCAAGAGCUGACACGUCUAUCUCAAUGUCUCAAAAAUCCACGGGAGUAAGCUGGGAUACUGGUAACAUUUAUUUCAAUAUUAUCUUAUUGUAAACUUAUUCUAGAACCAAUGAGAUGGAUCAGUGGGUAAAGGUACUUGCUGGGCAAGCCAGGUGACCUGAGUCUAGUUCCUUGUGAGAAAAAAGAACUACCCCCACAAAGUUGUCCUCUGAUCACUACAGGGCAAGCGCACGCACACACACACACACACACACACACACACACACACACACACACACACACUCUUAGAGUAAACAAAUCUUUUAAAACUAAAUCUAUUCAAAAACCUUUAUCCUAGACAUUUAAAGGUUUGCUUAUUUUUAUUUAUUUGUUACCUAGUAUCGCCGAUUUGUGAAUUAAAUUUCCCCAUCUUUGAAUGAGUUGUUUGCAUUUUACUGUAGUGUGACAAGGGAGAUCCUCCCAAAGCUUGCUGAUAGGGAAAGAUGGUGGAUUAUUUAAGAGGUGAGGCCCAGUGGGAUCAUUGGGUAUGUUAAAGCGACUUUGCAUCUGUGAGAAGGGAGUGGCACUUGGGUGCUGGCUCAUUUUGUUGGCACGGCCAGCCACUGGGCCUGCAUUUCUUCAGGCUCUCACCACAAGUGUUUAUUCUACUCUCUUGGAAUCUUGGACUGAGACUGUUAGCAUUUCCUUGGUUAAGUGCUCUUCACCAUCCAGGCUGAAGAAGGGCUGGAGCCGAAGAGCUGGCGUGACAAUUAGAGGAACGUUAUGCUCCUGCAGAGAUCCUGAGUUCAGUUUACAGCAACCAUAUCAGGUGGCUCACAACUGUUUCUGACUCCAGAUACAGUACAGGGUUAUCUGUGCCUCCGACCCCACAGGUACCUGCACUCGUGUACACACACGCAUGCACACACUCUCACACACACACACACACACACACACACUUUAACAAAAACAAAAUAAAUCUUCUUUUCAAAAAAAAAUGCCUAGCACCAAAAUAAAGCAAAGGAAACAGAAAUGUGACAAAAGCAUGUGGAAUCAACCUGAAGGACACCAGUUCUAGUCUGGCCACCGUCUUCCAUCACAUGCUGCCAUUCACUUCAAAGCCGGCUUCCUCUCACAGAUCCAGCACUCCUGGCCUCAGUAAAGUGUAAUCGUUUAAUAUGAAGUGGAUGCCUCAUUUUAACUUUUGCUCGGAGUAUUCCACGAACUUUGACAUGGCUUGCUUCCGCACUCAUUUGGAUUCUGGUCCACACCUCUCCCUGAAAUCAUGGAUCUGCAUUCCAAUCCUCAGCCCACAGUUCUGCCUCCCUCCCAGGAGGUCUGCUGCCACACAGGACAACCAGGAUCCAGGUGAGACACAUAUACUUCAAUGCCCAGCAAACCCAGCAGCCACGGACUCUUCACAGUCCUUUAUAAGUUCCAGUUUCACAUCCAGACCUCUACCUGCAAUUUUGCAUCUACACUCCGUUCUCCAGCCCACAGAUGUGCCUACCUCCCUGGAAGCCUGCUGUCAUCUGAGACAACCAGUCUCAGAGUUCUACUCCCAGAGAUUACAAUGCCAGCCAACACCAAAGACAACCACAUGCCUAAAGGCAAGCAUAAGAACACAGUCAACAAAAGCCAGUCAACCAACCAGAGCUCCCAGGGACUAAACCACCAACCAAAGAGUACACAUGGAGGGACCCAUGGCUCCAGCCACAUAUGUAGCAGAGGAUGGUAUCAAUAUGACACCAUCGGAGCCCAGCUCUCUUACUGUAGCAACCCCUGGAUAUCCUAAAGAGUAUGACUGUGACCUUAAAGCUCAUCUUAUGUAGAUGAUAGAGAUCUUUAAAGAGGAUUUGAAUAAAUUCCUUAUAGAAAUACAAGAAAACAUAAACAGGUAAAGAAAAUAAAGAAAACUGUUUAAGAUGUGAAAAUGGAAAUAGAAGAACAAAAGAAAACACAACGGGAAGGAACCCUGAAGAUGGAAAACCUAGGAAAGAGAACAGGAACUACAAAUGCAUGUAUCAUCAACAGAACACAGGAGAUGGAAGAGAGAAUCUCAGCAUAGGAGAUACAACAGAAUAAAUUGAUACAUUGGUCAAAGAAGCUGAAAAUCUAAAAAGUACCUAAUUCAAUGUGUACACACAACCUAAUCCAGGAAAUUUGGGACACUAUAUAAAGACCAAACCUAAGAAUAAUAAGAAGAGACGAGGGAGAAAGAUUCCUCUCUUCAAAGGCCCAAAAAAUAUCUUCAACAAAUCAUAGAAUAAAAAUUCCCUAAAGAAAGAGAUGGCUAUAAACAUACAAGAAGCUUACAGAACAGCAAUCAGAUUGGACCAGACAAGAAAAUCCUACCUCCACAUAAUAAUCAAAACACUACAUGUACAGAACAAAGAAUAGUAAAAGCUGCAAUGGGAAAAAGCCAAAUAACAUAUAAAGACAGACCUAGGAGAAUUACACCUGACUUCUCAACAGAAACUCUAAAAGCCUAGGAGAACAGAUGUCAGCAUUGACUACUAUUCUGAGCAAAACUUGAUAGAGAAACCAAGAUAUUCCAUGACAAGACCCGAUUUGAACAAUGUCUUUUUACUAAUCCAGCCCUAAGGAGGAUAAUAGAAGGAAAACUCCAACACAAAGAAGAUAACUACACCCAAGAAAACACAAGAAAUCAAACAUCUCACAACAAAACUAGAAAGGUAACACACACAGGUAGAGGGCCGCUUUAACAUUCGCCACCACAAGAUGGAGCUGGCUUCUACUGCGCCCCACGUGGAAGGCCAGGAUAGCUUCCGCCAUUACAAGAUGGCGCUGGCCUCCCCCGCGCCAGCUGACUUCCUUUCAGGAAGUUAACUGUGUGCGCAUGUGCAAGAGUGCCUUUGUGCCAGGUCUUUGCCCACUCCGGGGCGUGCCUAAUGAGAUCAUGGGUAAGCGACCAAUCAGGUGUGGAUGCGCCGCGCUAUAUAAGCCACGCCAUGCGGGCAUGCGGGGCUCUCUCCUUAAGAUUUAAUAAAAGUUUUGGCUGCCACAAGGAUUCGUAUGUCCCCGCGUGUUUUCUUGCUGGCGAGGUCGCUCGUGGGACAUCUGGUGCCAGAAACCCGGGAUAAAAAAAUGCCACACCAUCGUCAGGCGCUGAGAGGGAGUCCUCCGUCUGCAGAGAGAAUCCAGAAGCGGCAGGAAUUGAGGUAAGCUCCGAGAGACAUGAUAAUUUCCGAAUUGUUUGGUCUUGACGUAUCGUAUCUUUCUCCUUCUGCUGAGGGUGCUGUUGAGGCCUCUAUUACAUGGUAGUCUGAGGCCGGGAACGUUAGGAAUUUGGCAGAUGGUCAAGGAUUGUUUAGGUAAAGACAUUUUUCAUCCUAUAAUAGCGGCAGGCCAAGAGGCCCUGGACGAAAUUCAGGAAAGCAUGUCAGAAACGGAGCGUAGUGAAAGGUUGCAACGAAAAAAUGAUACUGAUCGAUCUCAAGCACCAGGCCCCUCUGUGGUCUUACCACCGCCAGAGGUGAUAGUACGGGGAAAGGACGCCCCGGGGACAGUGGCCACCUCGGCUACUGAGGGAGGGACCCUGAAUAAAGAAGGGGGCCCCCUGCUAAGAUUAAAUUAAAUAAACAGGGAAAGGAGGAGAAAACCCCGGAAAAAAAAACCUUUAUCAGGUAAAGGAGUUAGAGGUCUUGGGGCUUGAUAGUUCAGAAACAGACGAGCUUGGCUCCUCUGAGGAAGAGGAUUUAGAAGAUGAGGCAGCUCGCUAUGAAGAAGAAAGAUAUGGGCCUAGGUGGAGAGCCACUGUGAAGAAACCGAAAGUUAUGGAUCCUUCGUGGACGAGGCUGAUAAUUUUGUUUAUUUUUUUCUUUGUGUGGGAAGCCGUUAUAGCCAUUAGGACAGGUCAGAGGGUCCUUACAGAACAACAAGAAAGUAUGUCGGAGGGAAAAAAGGUCUCUAAAGAAAAAACGAAAAGAAAAGGAGAUAAAAGGAACACAGUAUUUUGGGAGAAAAAUUUUGUCUUUGUGCUGGUAAAAGGUGUGAUCAGGCUCUAUAAGCUUUGCAGAGUCAUACUGAUUAGGCUUGAUAGAGGCAGACUGCCUGAAAAUUUAUUCAGGAGAAUCAAACAAAAGGACAUCUCAAAUCCCAUGCACAGCUUGAUGGAGUUAAUGUAAUUGGGUUGUGAGUAAAAAUAUUCAGGACUGUGUUUCACUUCCAUACCAUUGGCGAAUGUCAGUCGUGCUGCUCAGAUAAUAUAUCUCAGUAUCUUACAGGAAUUGGGUUUCAACACGUUGAUGGACUAGUCCAGGAAUUGAGACAAUCCAUCGUCCAUAUCGACUCCACUCGAGUGGAUAGUCACCGUGAACGCCAUCUGGUUUUUUCCCUCUUUGUCUAUUGUCUGUCCUUGGUGCACCAGGAUGUCCCCAUGUCUGUUAGUUUAUGCCUGUGGUUCUUGCUUCUCGUUGUUUAAAUGUUUUAUGUUUCAUGUUCAAAACAAAAAAUGGUAAAAACUUUAUCUGCUGGUCGUUCACACCUUGACUUGGCUUUAACACGUUUCAAAAAGGAACAAAUGAAUAAAAAACAGUUUCAAUCAGGCCUUUAGAGCCCUGCACCUGCAGCCAGGAGUCUAGGUUAGCUGGAGAAGCUGCCCAGAGGCUAAGCGUCUGCACAAGCUGAUCUUAAAGGUGCCAGCAGCUUCUCAGCUUCUUUGAUACAAGAGCUGACAGCUGUUUCUCUUAGAGAUAUCCCUGACUUAUUAUUUGACUCAACAGGUGACAAGGUGCUUCUCUUAAAAUCAUAGUUAAAAAGGUAAAAAUGGUGUUUGGUCUAAAUAUUAAAGAUAUGUGUAGCCACUUCAAUUUGUUUCUGAUUGGUUUUAAAUGUGUAAAUAUGCUCUACUUGCCUUGGUUAUGGACUAUUGGCUUUCAAGUUAUUGGAUAUGGUUAAAAAGGUAUAAUAUUGGUAACAGAAAGUUGACAUAAAGCUGGUAAUUUGGAUGGAGUCAUUCUAGACAACAUGUGGCAUGAGUCAACCCAGGGAAACAGAUCUAAAUUGAGAUAAUAUUUUUAUGGAAUUCUUAUUCUAGAAACCAGGCUUCUAAAAGAAUUUAGGACAAUGUCUCUUUGUUGAGGUACUAGAGACUACGCCAUCGUGUGUUCAUAUAUAGGAAUUGGCAGUCAAACUUUGUACUAGUUUGUUGGAGGUCGAGUUUUGCUUUCCUAGUUGUGGUUUGCCCUAAAGCUAUCUGUAUUUUAAUGCUAAUUCCACUGCCCCAAGGACAGCUGCCUAGUCAUGUACUCAGAACUCAGGUGACCUUGUGGUUGUGCUCUGGUGUUACAAAGAGAACUUAAAGAUUGUGAUUAAGGAUUGCCAGUGUUACAUUGACUAACUCAAACUUAUUUUUAAUUAAGAAAAAAUCAAACAGGUAGAGAUUGUUACAAGAUUUACAAAGGAUUGAUGAGGUUUUGGAACUUGUGAGAACAUUACAGCCAGUUUACUUACUCCAACUGCCAUUUCAAGAUAGAUUUAGAGGAUUGCUAACAGCCUUGUAUUAGGUAAUUUUGUUGCUUCUUCAAUGUAAAAGGUUAGAACCUUAAAUCUUUCAGUGUAUAUGGAUAUUUUUACUACAAACCUUUGCUCUCAAAAUGAGCUUUUAUAUUUGGGGAGUAGCUGUUACACUACUCCAGAAAAGAAUAUUUGAGGCUAAUUUUAAGCUUCUAAGAAUAUGUUAAUUGGCUAAGUACCUCACCCUACCAGAGGACUUAGGUCUUUGUUAUGCACAUUGGAGAUAAAGCUUCAGCUGCAUUAAUACAGAAUUGUAGACUAGAGUCAUGGAAGUCAUGGUGAAACAUACCUUAUUCCAAACAACAAUCAAAUUGGUUAUUACAAAAUACUGAUAUUUGGCCUAUUACAUAUACAAAUUUUUCAGGCAAAAUUGAUAAUUUUACUCUUUGCAUGCUUUUGUACUUCCUGUAUAUUUGUGCAUGCAACCCAUAGGAAAUGCGCUUAGUGUAUUUAUAGGUGGUUCAUCUAAUGAAAAGGCUACAUGUAUGAUUGGAUCACUUGUUUAUUCUCUUGAGUUUCUAUUGCUUCAACACAGAUUAUUAAAUUCCGUAGUUUAGCCAUUGUUUUUAAAUCAAGCUUUCAAUUCACAUACUGAUAGCCAAUGUGUGGCUUGUGGUUUACAAUUGAUUUCAAUUACUUAAUGCUUUAUUAGAGGCAAGUUUUCUACAUGAAAUCAGUGAGUGAUGAUUUCAGUGUGAAUUGUCUGACAACUCACUGUCCUUUCAGUGCCCUGGCUCAGACAACUAAACAAAACCAUAGACCCAGCUCUUUGAAAAUGGUAAUGGAGUUAAUAUAAAAAGAAGAAGACUCCAUUUGCUUACUUUCAAUUCUCAGCCUCGCCCUGCCAGCUCAGGGAUUUCUAGUAAGACUGAAAUCUAGACAAUAUUUACAGAAUUUGACAUUUCUAAUUAAUGCUUAUGUUUAGGUAAAUAAAGUUUGUGAGGUGCUAGAGAAAUGGCUUAGUGGUUAAGAGCACUAAAAACUGUUCCUUAAUAGACCAUUUAAGAACUCAAACUGGAUUGCCUGGGCUCUUUAGCAAGGGAGGACAAUGAUACCAGACAGAUUAUAGGCCUUACAUAGGAAUAAUUAGUCAAAAAAUCUCAUUCUUUAUAUAUCCAAAACAAUAAUGCUGGAUACAAUAAUUUGGUAUACAAGUCAAUUUAUAAAUACAAGUGCUCAGUGUCCUCAAUUUAAUCCUCAAGGACUUACCUUAAUAAAUAAUAUCUUUACUAUAUCUUUAUAAAUAAAAAGGGGGAGUUAUCCCUGUAUGCUAAAUAAUGCUCCUUUUAUUUCAAUUUUAAAAUUUGGAUGCCAAAGUUUAUGGCACCCUACAACUAGGCAUACUUCUGCCUAGGUGAAAUAGAAAGAUCCACAUAUUGACAUGAUCCUGUCUAGAUAUUUUAUAUGGGGAAGAGGGAAUGUUUAUGUUUUUUCUACAGGAUGCUACAAGAGUGUUCCAGCUGCCUGAGUGGUUGCUGAGACUUGCUGAUCCUGGUUGCAUAAAGAUUCAGCUCUCGUGGUUCGGGUCCCUGGAGUCAUUCCUCUGCCCUGAGAGGAAGAUGAAAGAUUCCCCUUCUUCAUUUGUCAUCACAGAGAUUUUGCCGUUGCUGCAGUCAGUGUUACCGCUGCGUGUGUCCCGUCCCACUAUGGCCUGCUCUCUGACCCUCUGUGCACUGCUGCUUGCUGGAGAAGACUGGACUCCAGCUGUCGUUGCUGCCCCCCUCAUUUCUCUGGCGACUCUUGCUGCCUUAACUGGUCAUUUUACAGACUGUAGCUUCACAGGAAUGCCACCUGCGUAAAGCUGCUGUGGACUGGGGAACUCUGUCCUGGUUAUACAGAUCUCAAACAUGUUUCCCUUGCCUGCUGGUUGUUCCAGAGAAAAAUGACUGAUCCUGAACUGUCCUGGAAAAGACCUUGACACUUUCGCUGCUAUUGUAGCAGCCAUUACUGUUGCAGACAUUGUGUCUGCAGUGUCUGGAGUUAUCCUCCCCCAAUCUAUUGUUAGACAAACACAGUGGAUAAACUUUCUGGAGUAGUUACUAACAAUUGGGAAUUCUAAAUUCUAUUAUAGGAGCAGCUUGACUACGGCCCUUGGUGGUAACAGCUGAGGUGAAUCAGAUGAGGUGCCCACUACUUAUCGGGAGUGGCUCUGUUUGGUGCAGCCCUAUGCUGUGGAUUAGUGUUCAUGCUAUGGUUGGUUUGCAAACUCAGAUCUCAACAGAAAUGUGACAAGGCCGUUAUCACUCAAGCACUUGUGGCCAUUGUACAAGGGGCCUCUUAUCUAUGCUCAGGAAUUAGUCGGUAUCUGAGUUCUCUGCUCUUGCACCCCAUGGAUCUGUGGAUCCAUUGCACUGGGAUGAAAGAGACUCAUUGAUCCUUUGAUCAGCCCUUCCACAUCGCUGAGGUUUCCUCAUUGCACGCGAUAGGGUGAUCAUGAUUUGUUAUAAAAUAAAUGAUUUGUGAUAAAAUAAAUAAAUAGGGGGAGAUGUAGAGGGCCGCUUUAACAUUCUCCACCACAAGAUGGUGCUGGCUUCCACUGCACCCCACGUGGAAGGCCAGGAUAGCUUCCGCUAUUACAAGAUGGCGCUGGCCUCCGCCGCGCCAGCCGACUUCCUUUCAGGAAGUUAACUGUGUGCGCAUGUGCAAGAGUGCCUUCGUGCCAGGUCUUUGCCCACUCCGGGGCGUGCCUAAUGAGAUCAUGGGUAAGUGACCAAUCAGGUGUGGAUGCACCGCGCUAGGGUGUAUAUAAGCCGCGCCAUGCGGGCGCGAGGGGCUCUCCUUAAGACUUAAUAAAAGUUUUGGCUGCCGCAAGGAUUUGUAUGUCCCUGCAUGUUUUCUUGCUGGCGAGGUCGCGCGUGGGACACACACACACACACACACACAAACACAGACACAGUACCACCACCAACACCAAAAUAACAGGAAGUAACAAUCAUUGGUCAUUAAUAACUCUCAACAUCAGUGGACUCAAUUUACCAAUAAAAAGACACAAACUAACAGAGUGAAUGCAAAAACAAGAUCCACCAUUCUGCUGUAUACAAGAAACACACCUCAGCAACAAAAAUAGACCCGACCUCAGAAUAAAAGACUGGAAAAAGAUUUCCAAGCAAACAGACUAACAAAGCAAGCUAGAGUAGCCAUUCUAAUAUCUCAUAAAAUAGACUUCCAACCAUAAGUAAUCAAAAGUAGUGGGGAAGGAUACAUUAUACUCAUCAAAGGAAAAAUCCACCAACAUGACAUCUCAGUUCUGAACAUCUAUGCCCCAAAUGCACCCACAUUCAUAAACAAACAAACAAACAAACAAACAAACAAAAAACAUUACCAAAGCUUAAAUCUCACAUCGAACCUCACACAAUAAUAGUGGGAGACUUCAACACUCCACUCUCACCAAUGAACUGGUCAUCAAAACAGGAACUAAACAAAGAAAUAAUGAAACUUAUAUAGAUGUUAUUAACCAAAUGGACCUAACAAAUCUACAGAACCUUUCAUCCAAACACAAAAGAACAUACCUUCUCAUCACUUCAUGGACCCUUCUCCAAAACUGACAUAUACUCGCUCACAAAGAAGAAAGCCUCAACAAAUACAAGAAGAUUGAAAUAACCCCUUGCAUCUUAUCAGACCACACUGGAUUAAUGCUGGAGUUCAGCAACAUCAGAAAUAACAGAAGCCCCACACACUCAUGGCACUGAGCAACUCUAAUCAAUGAUCACUUGGUCAUGGAAGAAAUAAAGAAACAAAUCAAAGACUCUGUACAAUUCAAUGACAAUGAAGGCACAACAUACCCAAAUUUAUGGGACACAAUGAAAGCAGUGCUAAGAGGAAAGUUCAUGGCACUAAGUGCCUUCAUAAAGAAAUUGGAGAGAUCUCACACUAGCAACUUAACAGCACACCUGGAAGCUCUAGAACAAAAUAAAGCAAACACACAACAGGAGUAGACAGCAGAAAACAGUCAAAUUUAGGGAUGAAAUCAGUCAAUUAGAAACAAAGAAAAUAAUUUGAAGAAUCAAUAAGAACCAAGAACUGGUUCUUUGAGAAAAUCAACAAGAUACACAAUCCCUUAGCCAAACUGAUUAAAAGGCACAGAGACCGUAUCCAAAUUAACAAAAUAAGAAAUUAAUAUAAAAACAGAACCUGAGGAAAUUUUUAAAAAAUCAUUAGGUCUUACUUAAAAAACCUCUACUCCACAAAACUGGAAAAUGUAAGUGAAAUGGAUGAUUUUCUAGUCAGAUACCACUUACCAAAGUUAAAUCAAGAUCAGGUAAACAAUCUAAACAGUCCCAUAACCCCUAAGGAAGUAAAAACAAUCAUUAAAAGUCUCCCAAUCUGUGAUGGUUUGCAUAUGCUCAUCCUAGGGAGUGUCACUAUUAGGAGGUGUAGCCUUGUUGGAAGUAUGUCAUUGUAAAGGUGGGCUUGGAGAUCAUCCUCCCAGCUGCCUAAGGAUGCUCAGUCUGUUCCUGGCUUCCUUUGGAUGAAGAUGUAGAACUCUCAGCUCCUCUUGCACCAUUCCUGCCUAGAUGCUGCCACACUCCUGCCUUGAUGAUAAUGGACUGAAUCUCCAAACUUGUAAGCCAGCCCCAAUGAAAUGUUGUCCUUAGAAGAGUUACCUUGGUCAUGGUAUAUAUUCGCAGCAGUAAACCCUAACUAAGACACCCAAUAUUUGUUUUGUCUACAAGAAAUGCAAGAACAAACAUGGAGCAGAGACUGGCGAAAUGGCCAACCAAUAACCAACCGAACUUGAGACCUAUCCCAUGGGCAAGCACCAAUCCCUGACCAUAUUAAUGAUACUCUGUUAUGCUUGCAGACAGGAUUGUAUUGUUCUCUGAGAGGCUCCACCCAGCAGCUGACUGAAACAAAUGCAGAGACCCACAGCUGUUGCCACAGUGUCUAGGUUCACCCAUAACUGAUACUGAAAAGUGUACAUAUUAUGGGUUACUCUGUGAUACUUUGACACAUGAAUACAUUGUAUAGUAUUCAAAUCAAAACAAAUAUGUCCAUGUUCUCAAUUCAAGACUCCAACCUAUGGAACCCUGUCACCCAUUGUCUUAGUGUUACUAUUACUGUGAUGAAGCACCAUCCCCAAAAGAAACUUGGGUAGAAAAGGGUUUAUUUCACUCACAAUUCCAUAUAACUGUCCAUCUUCCGUGAGGGCAGGAAUUCACACAGGGCAAAGAACCUGUAGACAGAAGCUGAGGCAGAGGUCACGGGUUGGGUGCAGCUUACUGGUUUGCUCAGCCUGCUUUCUUAUACUAUUCAGGGCCAUAAACCCAGGGAUGGUACCACCCACAAUAGGCUGGACUCUCCCACAUCAAUUAACUAAUUAAGAAAAUUCCCUACAACUGGAUAUUAUGGAGGCAUUUUCUUUAUUGAGAUUUCCUCCUCUCAGAUGACUUUAGCGCAUGUCAAGUUGACAUAAAGCCAGCCAGGCCAGCACUUCCACAGACCAGCCAAUUGUGAGGCACCAGAAAAUGAAUGUAUUCUCCUUUGUCCAAAUGAGGAGCAGAAUCAAAUAUAUAUAUCGGAAGUAUAUAUAUCCAUGCUUGAGAUAUUUAAUGACUUCCUUUGAGGAUGAACUGUGUUAUGAUUUAAAUGUGCAUGGCCCACGGGAGGUAGCACUAUUAGGCGUGGUCCUGUUGGAAGAAUUGUAUCACUGUGGGGGUGGGCUCUGAAGCUCCACCCAGGACAGUUUCUCUUGCAGUCAGGUCAAGUUGCAGAACUCUCGGGGCUGGGGAUUUAGCUCAGUGGUAGAGCGCUUACCUAGGAAGGGCAAGGCCCUAGGUUCGGUCCCCAGCUCCGAAAAAAAAAAAAAAAAAAAGAACCAAAAAAAAAAAAAAAAAAAAAAGAUGCAGAACUCUCAGCUCCUUCUCCAGCACCAUGUCUGCCUGGAUGCUACCAUGUUUCCUGCCUUGAUAAUAAUGGACUGAACCUCUGAACCUGUAAGCCAGCCCCAAUUAAAUGUUGUCCUUACAAGAGUUGCCGUGGUUAUGGUCUGUCUUCACAACAAUGGAAACCCUAACUAAAAAUAAUUGAAACACACUGUGGUGUGGAAUCAUAAACUGAAUAAACCCUUCAUCCUCAACCUUGCUUUUGGUCAUGGUGUUUCGGUGCAGCAAUAGAAGCCGUGACUAAGACAAGCCCUCAGUCAUCAAAGGAGCUCCUUGGAGGAUUGGAGAGCAUGGGAACCACUGGUCAUUCACUGCUAGCUACAAGGAUCAUUGUUUCUUCCCAUCAGUCAUAGAAACUGUUUCCUUGCACACUAUACUCUGAAUGAAAAGGGUUGGGAAUCAGGGUAGGGUUCCUAUGUCUAUGCAGAAGUCAUGCUCUUAAAGCUCUCAGAAAUACUCCUUGUGGGACUUACAGGUGCCAAUUCCAAUAUUAUAAAACAGGCAAACAAUUACUGAGAAAGUAGAAUGGCAGUAUUGUAGGAUUCUGUUGCAUUUUAUAGACUAACGUUUCAUAGCAACAAUAAUAAAUGUAUCUGUGUUGAAAUGUCAUAGAAGUUAUGUCAAAAUUAAUGCCAAAUUAGUACCAUUGCAGUUGUCAUCUAGAACCAAUGUGUGUUUACAGUCUGAACAUCCUUGGUCCCGUCUCUCAUACAGCUUAGCAUUAA